UACGAAGGGGGCUAGCGUUGCUCGGAAUUAUUGGGCGUAAAGCGCGCGCAGGCGGUCCUUUAAGUCUGAUGUGAAAUCCCACGGCUCAACCGUGGAAGGUCAUUGGAAACUGGGGGACUUGAGUACAGAAGAGGAAAGCGGAAUUCCAAGUGUAGCGGUGAAAUGCGUAGAGAUUUGGAGGAACACCAGUGGCGAAGGCGGCUUUCUGGUCUGUAACUGACGCUGAGGCGCGAAAGCGUGGGGAGCAAACAGG
rnacentral:rRNA from 1 species